rnacentral:rRNA from 1 species
UACGUAGGGUGCAAGCGUUGUCCGGAAUUAUUGGGCGUAAAGAGCUCGUAGGCGGUUCGUCGCGUCUGCCGUGAAAAUUCGAGGCUCAACCUCGAACUUGCGGUGGGUACGGCAGACUAGAGUGUGGUAGGGGAGACUGGAAUUCCUGGUGUAGCGGUGAAAUGCGCAGAUAUCAGGAGGAACACCGAUGGCGAAGGCAGGUCUCUGGGCCACUACUGACGCUGAGAAGCGAAAGCAUGGGGAGCGAACAGG